rnacentral:rRNA from 1 species
GUGGGGAAUAUUGCACAAUGGGGGAAACCCUGAUGCAGCAACGCCGCGUGAGUGAUGAAGGUCUUCGGAUUGUAAAACUCUGUCUUUGGGGACGAUAAUGACGGUACCCAAGGAGGAAGCCACGGCUAACUACGUGCCAGCAGCCGCGGUAAUACGUAGGUGGCAAGCGUUGUCCGGAUUUACUGGGCGUAAAGGGAGCGUAGGCGGAUUUUUAAGUGGGAUGUGAAAUACCCGGGCUUAACCUGGGUGCUGCAUUCCAAACUGGAAGUCUAGAGUACAGGAGGGGAAAGUGGAAUUCCUAGUGUAGCGGUGAAAUGCGUAGAUAUUAGGAAGAACACCAGUGGCGAAGGCGACUUUCUGGACGAAAACUGACGCUGAGGCGCGAAAGCCAGGGGAGCGAACGGGAUUAGAAACCCUGGUAGUCC